rnacentral:tRNA from 1 species
GCGGCGACUGCAUCGGCUAUCUCGACCUACGGUCUCUUAAUCCGUAGGUCGAGUGUUCGAGUCACUCACGCCCCACCA